UGCACGACCUGCGCAUGUGAAUUUGUUGAUGGCUUACUAUGGUGAGGCUGCUUCUCUCCAGAGGAGCCAACAUUAAUGCCUUUGACAAGAAGGAUCGCCGAGCAAUCCACUGGGCUGCUUACAUGGGGCACAUUGAGGUGGUGAAACUGCUGGCCUCUCAUGGAUCAGAGUUGUCCUGUAAAGACAAGAAGGCCUACAC